rnacentral:rRNA from 1 species
UACGUAGGGGGCAAGCGUUGUCCGGAUUUAUUGGGCGUAAAGCGCGUGUAGGCGGCCAGGUAGGUCGGUUGUGAAAAUUGGAGGCUCAACCUCCAGACGUCGAUCGAAACCAUCUGGCUAGAGUCCGGAAGAGGAGAAUGGAAUUCCUGGUGUAGCGGUGAAAUGCGCAGAUAUCAGGAAGAACACCAAUGGCGAAGGCAGUCUCUGGGACGGUACUGAUCGCUGAGACGCGAAAGCGUGGGGAGCGAACAGGAU